UACGUAGGGGGCAAGCGUUGUCCGGAUUUAUUGGGCGUAAAGAGCGUGUAGGCGGCCUGGUAGGUCAGCUGUGAAAACUCGAGGCUCAACCUCGAGACGCCGGUUGAAACCAUCAGGCUAGAGUCCGGAGGAGGAGAGUGGAAUUCCCGGUGUAGCGGUGAAAUGCGCAGAUAUCGGGAAGAACACCCGUGGCUAAGGCGGCUCUCUAGUACGGUACUGACGCUGAGACGCGAAAGCGUGGGGAGCGAACAGG
rnacentral:rRNA from 1 species